UACGUAGGGGGCGAGCGUUGUCCGGAAUCAUUGGGCGUAAAGCGCGUGUAGGCGGCCCGGUAAGUCCGCUGUGAAAGUCCAGGGCUCAACCCUCGGAUGCCGGUGGAUACUGUCGGGCUUGAGUACGGAAGAGGCGAGUGGAAUUCCUGGUGUAGCGGUGAAAUGCGCAGAUAUCAGGAGGAACACCAAUUGCGAAGGCAGCUCGCUGGGACGUUACUGACGCUGAGACGCGAAAGCGUGGGGAGCAAACAGG
rnacentral:rRNA from 1 species